UGGAAGAGUCUGUUGUCUUAAAGCCUCGGU
rnacentral:piRNA from 1 species